GCCGCAAGGCAAAUGUGAAGGUGCUGCAUGGUUGUCGUCAGCUCGUGCCGUGAGGUGUCGGCUUAAGUGCCAUAACGAGCGCAACCCUUAUCUUCUGUUACUGACAGGUCAUGCUGAGGACUCUGGAGAGACUGCCGUCGUAAGAUGUGAGGAAGGUGGGGAUGACGUCAAAUCAGCACGGCCCUUACGUCCGGGGCUACACACGUGUUACAAUGGGGGGUACAGAAGGCAGCUACCGGGCGACCGGAUGCCAAUCCCAAAAACCUCUCUCAGUUCGGAUCGAAGUCUGCAACCCGACUUCGUGAAGCUGGAUUCGCUAGUAAUCGCGCAUCAGCCAUGGCGCGGUGAAUACGUUCCCGGGCCUUGUACACACCGCCCGUCAAGCCAUGAAAGCCGGGGGUACCUGAAGUACGUAACCGCAAGGAGCGUCCUAGGGUAAAACUGGUAAUUGGGGCUAAGUCGUAACAAGGUAGCCGUACCGGAAGGUGCGGCUGGAUCACCUC
rnacentral:rRNA from 1 species